rnacentral:misc_RNA from 1 species
GUUCAGCAAUUCCAUGAAAAGAUUAUCGUAUGUUGCAGAAAGUGGACGUUGGCAUGUGAUGAGAUUGUAUUGCAGUUUGAACAACAUUCCUGUCUAUUCAAGAGAAGAAACUGUUGUGACUAGAUAUGUGUUCAGUAACCCAAGCUAAUCUUGUCACUUGAUUCCCGUUUCUGAAAAGUAAAAAGAUAGGCAAUGCAAAGCUCUUUUACCUCAGGGAAGCAACAAUAGGCAAAGUUUUGUGCACGUUGCCUAUGUGCUAGCUAGGCAUAGGACUAUGAUGUAUACUGGCGUAGUAGUUGUGAAGUGAAAUAGGUCAACAGUCAUUUUCUUUUUGCCCACACAUAAUGUUCAGUGGUUUAUGCUACUAGACUGGCUCAUUUGUCAAAUUU